rnacentral:rRNA from 1 species
AAUAUUGCGCAAUGGGCGAAAGCCUGACGCAGCAACGCCGCGUGGAGGACGAAGGCCUUCGGGUUGUAAACUCCUUUCAGCAGGGACGAAACUGACGGUACCUGCAGAAGAAGCCCCGGCUAACUACGUGCCAGCAGCCGCGGUGAGACGUAGGGGGCAAGCGUUGUCCGGAUUCAUUGGGCGUAAAGAGCUCGUAGGCGGCUUGGCAAGUCGGAUGUGAAAUCUCCAGGCUCAACCUGGAGUCGCCAUCCGAUACUGCUAUGGCUAGAGUCCGGUAGAGGAUCGUGGAAUUCCUGGUGUAGCGGUGAAAUGCGCAGAUAUCAGGAGGAACACCGAUGGCGAAGGCAGCGAUCUGGGCCGGUACUGACGCUGAGGAGCGAAAGCGUGGGGAGAGA